GCCUUCGUGGCGGAACUGGCAGACGCGUACGGCUUAGGACCGUAUGGGGAAACCCUUGGAGGUUCAAAUCCUCCCGAAGGCA
rfam:Microgenomates (Curtissbacteria) bacterium GW2011_GWA1_41_11 TT34_C0014, whole genome shotgun sequence.